rnacentral:rRNA from 1 species
CCUACGGGUGGCAGCAGUGAGGAAUAUUGGUCAAUGGGCUUACGCCUGAACCAGCCAAGUCGCGUGAGGGAAGACUGCCCUAUGGGUUGUAAACCUCUUUUGUCAGGGAGCAACGCCGGCUACGUGUAGCCGGACUGAUAGUACCUGAAGAAAAAGCAUCGGCUAACUCCGUGCCAGCAGCCGCGGUAAUACAGAGGAUGCGAGCGUGAUCCGGAUGUAUUGGGUUUAAAGGGUGCGUAGGCGGUAUGCCAAGUCAGCGGUAAACUAGCGGGGUGAAACCUAGCUCCGCCGUUGAAACUGGCGUUCUUGAGUGGGCGAGAGGUAUGCGGAAU